AUUGAACGCUGGCGGCAGGCCUAACACAUGCAAGUCGAGCGGAUGAAGGGAGCUUGCUCCUGGAUUCAGCGGCGGACGGGUGAGUAAUGCCUAGGAAUCUGCCUGGUAGUUUGUGAUAACGUCCGUAAACGGGCGCUAAUACCGCAUACGUCCUGUGGGUGAAAGUGGGGGUUCUUCGGUCCUCUCGCUAUCUGAUGUUCCUAGUUCGGAUUAUCUAGUUGGUGGGGGAAAGUCCUACCAAGGCGACGAUCCGUAACUGAUAUGAGAGGAUGAUCAGUCACAAGGGAACUGAGAAACGGUCCAGACUCCUACGGGAGGCAGCAGUGGGGAAUAUUGGACAAUGGGCGAAAGCCUGAUCAAGCCAAGCCGCGGGUGUGAAGAAGGUCUUCGGAUUGUAAAGCACAUUAAGGUGGGAGGAAGGGAAGUAAGUUAAUACCUAGCUGUAUUGACGUUACCAACAGAAAAAGCACCGGCUAACUUCGUG
rnacentral:rRNA from 1 species